ACUAAGGUCCCGUGAGUGCAGUCCUCCAUGCGGCCGCAUGGAGUUGUGCCAUGCGGCUGCAUGGAGGACUUCACUCACGGGACCUUAGU
rnacentral:miRNA from 1 species